CAGGGGUCCAGGAGCUGUGACUA
rnacentral:siRNA from 1 species